CGGAGCGGGCAGGGGGCGGGACAUCCUGUGACACUCCGGUCCCUUAGCGGUGAGGGGGGGCCGGCGCCGGCGCGAGGAGCCCGGGCCGCCGAGGGGAGUGGGACAGGCGACGGGCAACAGGUUGAUUUCUGAGAUGUUGGAUACAUCAUGUGUUUUUUUUAUUGAAGUUUCUGUGUGGAUUAUAAUUCUCAAACAUGUUGCUUUCUUCAACCCAUGGAAGAGAGUUGAUAUGAAUAACUGUCAUUUGACAGAAAAAGGAAUCACUUGAAGCCCACGUGGCCAAUAGUUACCAGCUGGUAGAAAUAAGUUCUGACCAAUCUGCUCCAAGGAUCUGGGUUGAACAAGGAUCGGGUGCACCGGGGUAGGCCAGGAACGACAGGAACACAGGCAAGCAGGGCCGGGAGCCGGAGCGGGCAGCCGCGGUGGGCAGGUGAGCUGCAAUCUGCUAACAGGUCUGGAGCCUGGAGCGGGGACUGUCCGAAGUGGAUGGCGGAGGCGGCAGGCUGGCAGAAGUGGCUGAGCCGGGUGGGGUGGGCGGCAAACACAACAGGUCUGGAGCGAGCCUGUGAGCUCUCUAAUGGCUGGAACGAGCAGCAGCUUUGCAAGGGGAAAAAAAAAACCUCAGCCAGAGAAACGUGGAUCAAAAAAAUUUCUAGGCACUAGCUAUUAAAAACUGAACUUAAGAUCAGAAAAGAAUCAGAAGAUUGAGAGUCUUUUUUUCCCAUUAGGUCGCCAACUGUAAAGAUUAAAAUUUAGGGGAGACUGAGGCAGGUAGAAAUUAGUUUCUCUCUGUAAGGAGUAUUAUAUUUUUAUGAGGUUUAUUAAAGAUUAAGGAUUAAAGAAAAUACAGGAUAAUAAAACAUGUGUCUAGGCCUCUGACCUAGACACCUCACCUACAUUAUGAAAAGAGCCACCUCUGCUCCAAAACGGAAGUCCAAAAAGCCCACAAAAGCCUUUGCAAUCAGGUUAAAUCCCUUCUUGAUCUCAGCCCACCUAAGAAUUCAGUGAGAUUACAAAGCAUUUUGGGGAAGUGGAGCAAGGGCUUGUGGGGAUUGAAGUCCAAAGUUCAAAUCCAUUUUUUACAUUUGGUGUUAAAUGUCUUAAAAUUAAACAGCUGUCGCAACCAUGAUUCAAAUUGAACUUUGAAACCUCAGUCCAUAAAUAUUUGAUCCCUUGGCCAAGUGGCAAUACAUAGUAAACAAAGAUCAGUUAACAGCUUGAAUUCAUUUGCAGAACAUUAUUUGGAAAAUGGCAGAAUAUUACCUUCAACCAUUUCACAAAACAAGAUAGUUGAGGGGAAAAUUCUAAUGGAGGACUGUAAGGAUAAUUUUAGGGUUGUAUCUCAAAUCAAAAUUAGUUUUGGUCAUCAGAGAAAAUCCCAGAUAAAAUACCCAAGUAAGUUGGAAAUUUUUGGUGAUUUUAAUUAAUAUAGAGGGAAGAAAUUAAGGAGAAGAGAGAAAAGGAGGGUAUAGGAUUUCUCCCACCUGGCCUGUACCAGGGGAAGUUCAAAGACCUCUGCCACAAGGUCUUUGUAGAAGAUUAGAGGCUUUCUAAGAGGAUAGUGUUUGGAAGGUAAAGGAGAAAGAAAUCAGCCUAAACUCUGAGAGAUCUCAGUUAAGAUGCCUCACCUGAACUAGGCUACUCAGCUUCUCCCAUUAUAGUAUCAAGGAAAACUUACCACCAAACAGCACAAUAGCUGCCGCCAUACCAAGAUGCUGAAAUGCUCAGCAUGCUGCCAGCCAGAGCCACCUCUCCACCGAAAGAGGAAGUGAUGUGAAAUAUAUAGACAGUUUUUACAUCACUUUCCUGCAACUUACAUGUACCAGUGGUAGCUUAAACUUGACUUAGGAAAGCCCAAGAGUCUGUUAUUUGUUUCUGAUUCGUCAUUUGCUAGCACAUGUCUGUCAUGUGACAAGAAAAUCACUUUAAAAGACUGAUAUAUAUUAAUUUAAGGUCGCUAAGGAAUUCAGCUAUGUAAUUCCUAAAUGAAAACUCAAGUCAGCCGUCAACCUUUUAUAGAGUAUAAUUACAAACAGGAGGAAGAAAGGAAUUAGAGAUAGAGAGAGAGAGGGAGAGAGAAAGGGGAGAGAAGGGAAUAGGGCUUAAAUACCCCUUCUGUUUAGGCUGGGCCAAAAGGCCCAAGCCCUUAGAUAGCUGGGGCAAAGAAAGGAGAUCAGUCCCUAUUACUCACGUGACCAAAAUGGAGAAACAGUCUCAGGGGCCUCCACCUCCAGCUUCCUUCAGAGCAAGCUUCUCAGAGCACUCUCCAACCACUCAGAGCCAAAACUCUCCCACCAACCUUUCAGUCCUCAGACCCCUCUAUCUUUAAGGAAACCAUCUGAGUUCCCUCCCCUCAGUUCUCACAUCUACCAGUCACUAUCCAUGUCUUCCCUGUGCCAAUGGUGGCUCUAGCUUAACCCAGGACUGCCCAGAGGUCUGUGGCUUUGCACAUGUCUGUUGAAGGUCAUAUUCUCAAAUAAUUAAAUCUUGAUCUUUUGCUACAGCCCUUCCUAAAUCCUGUUACCCUGAGUAGGGUAGAGAUUGGAAUAAUUAAAUUUUGAUCUAUGCUGCAGCCCUUCCUAAAUCCUGCUAGGACUGAGUAGGGUGGAGAUUGCAAUUUCCAAGACCUGGUUCUGUCAUUCCAAGUAUCUCCAUUGUAUCAAUUCUAAAAUCAAUCAUGACUCAAAGAAAUUCCUGUUCUAUGCUUAAGCAUAGGUCAAAGCCCUUUCCAUUGUUCAGCAAAAGGUUUCUGUCCUAAAGUAAUCUUAAGAAGGGAGGAGGAGGAACUUCCCAUGCCAAUGGGGUUCACAUUCCAAUAGAGUUCCCACUCUCAAUAGGAAAUUUUUCAAGUAUGAAAUUUCCCAAUGGUGAAAUUUCCAACAUUUAUAAGUCUAAGAAAUUUUAAGGUUUACAGUCAUAGGCCAUCCUCCUAAAUACUAAAUACUAAAAACCAAUUAGGGGGCAGUCCCCUUUUGGAAUAAGAGUAUAUAUUCAAAUAAAUGUUCAAUCAAACUUUAGUUCAAUCAACCACACCCAAAGUUCGUUCUGGAUCCUCUUGAUGUAGGUUUUCUGGCAUCUUUCUGCAACAGUUCAUUUUCCGAAUUUAGGAGUUAGCAAGCUUCUUUCCUUGAAGAUCUUUUCUUGAACAAAAAUUCAAAAUCUUGGUUUUUAUUAAAAUACAAUCCUCUCCUGAAGUGGGUAUUAAGAAACAUCCAGUUCAGCUCAGGAUGCAUGGUUGAGUUAUGGGAGUGUAUGAGUCAGUUAUCAAAAGAAGGGGGAAAAAAUAAAACCAAAAAUACAAAGAAAAAAAUGGAAGAAAGUUAAACUUUUUUGUAGAAAGAAAAAAAUUCAAAAUCAGAAUAAAAAUACCAAAAUCUAUGUAUAUAAACUGUUGAGUAAGCAAGAAUAAAUUCAUGAUAGGCCCUUGCAUAGGUCCAAUUUAAAGUAAUUUCUAUCCCACAAGUCUGUAGGACAGAAUGCAGUAAUAUUUCACUUACCCAUUUGCAGCCAAGACUACAGGAUGUUGCCAUACUAUAAGAAGAAAAAGAACUAGAAUUUUAUUUUGAUAGGUAAGUGUCAUUCCCUGGUCUGAUUUUUUGUCAUUCUCAGGGAUAUGGGGAGACAGGAUGAUCAUCAAACUUUGGUACUUGUCUAGCUAUUUCACAAAGAGUAUAUAUACAAGGAAGUCCUACAACUUAACAUAUGUCAAGCAUUGGAACCUCGAGUCUCACACUAGUUUUUUUUGGAACCUCGAGUCUCACACUAGUUUUUUACCUGUGUGCUCUUUUUGGCACUAUUCAGGUUAAGUCUGUGCUCCUUGUUUUUAUCCCAUUUCCUAGAUCAGACACAAACAUUAAUCACAGUUCCAUAACAUUUUACCAAUAAAUGGCAGGUUCCCAUAGUUUAAAGGUUUGGGGUAUGCAUUCAUAUUAUAGCAAGUAUAUAUAUAUAUAUAUAUA